UACGUAGGGGGCAAGCGUUGUCCGGAUUUAUUGGGCGUAAAGCGCGUGUAGGCGGUUGCCCAAGUCGGGUGUGAAAGCCUUGAGCUCAACUCAAGAAAUGCACUCGGUACUGGGUGACUAGAGGACCGGAGAGGAUAGUGGAAUUCCCAGUGUAGUGGUGAAAUACGUAGAGAUUGGGAAGAACACCAGUGGCGAAGGCGGCUAUCUGGACGGUUUCUGACGCUAAGACGCGAAAGCGUGGGGAGCAAACAGG
rnacentral:rRNA from 1 species